rnacentral:rRNA from 1 species
CGUAGGGUGCAAGCGUUAAUCGGAAUUACUGGGCGUAAAGCGUGCGCAGGCGGUUAUGCAAGACAGAUGUGAAAUCCCCGGGCUCAACCUGGGAACUGCAUUUGUGACUGCAUGGCUAGAGUACGGUAGAGGGGGAUGGAAUUCCGCGUGUAGCAGUGAAAUGCGUAGAUAUGCGGAGGAACACCGAUGGCGAAGGCAAUCCCCUGGACCUGUACUGACGCUCAUGCACGAAAGCGUGGGGAGCAAACAGGAUUAGAUACCCUGGUAGUCCACGCCCCAAACGAUGUCAACUGGUUGUUGGGAGGGUUUCUUCUCAGUAACGUAGCUAACGCGUGAAGUUGACCGCCUGGGGAGUACGGCCGCAAGGUUG